GACGUAGGACACAAGCGUUAUCCGGAGUUACUGGGCGUAAAGGGCGUGCAGGCGGUCUUGUAAGUCAGGCGUGAAAGACCCCGGCUAAACUGGGGGGUGACGUUUGAGACUGGAAGACUAGAGAAUGGUAGAGGCGUGUAGAAUUCCGGGUGUAGUGGUGAAAUGCGUAGAUAUCCGGAGGAAUACCAGUGGCGAAGGCGGCACGCUGGGCCAUAACUGACGCUGAGACGCGAAAGCAUGGGUAGCGGACGGG
rnacentral:rRNA from 1 species